GGAAUACUACCUUUACAACUGGUUCCUUGGACUCUACCAUGUAGAAAUUUAAUCGAAGCAGAGAAAAGACAGAGAAAGCAGCCGUGAAUGAAAAAAGCGCCAGCAUCCGUAGAAUUGAUUAAAUCUAUCGUUGCAAGAUAUGUCUAUGAAAACGCUACCCUCAAAGACUUGAGGCUGGCAACCAUGUGCGUCACACCCUUUGCAGGCUUAUUUCGCUCAAGAGCAGGACCGUAGCUAGAGGCGAUAAUUGGAGAGGGGGGUGUACUGUAUAUUCAUAUACUCAUGUUCACAUACCGUAAAAACAACCGCUUUCAAAAGAAAUCUGUCGGGCAGAACGCGAAUAUAUCAAUAUGCAUCCCCCCCCCCCAAUUAUCGGUCUAGCUGCGACCCUGCUCCAAAGAGCUUUUCAACAUAAGAGUACGUGAUAUUAAUUGUGGUUCAACGAUAAUUUCGUUAUUAAUGUACCCGAAGGCAAAACAAACAUAUACAGGCGAGGCCAGGACGUCUUCGUGGCAAGGUCCAACAGAGAGUCGUGUCCAUGGUGAUUUACUCGACCGAUAUAUACGGAAUGCAAAUAUCAUCAUUAAUGACAGUGACAUUUACCAUACUCUUCAUGUCUCAAAUUCAACGGUGACAUUAAGGACGCUACCUCAAGUCCUAAUAACAUGCAUCCACUGUCAUUUCUCCUAGUAAGAUUUCUACCGACUCGACUGGAACAUCAUACGAGUGUUUAUAUUGUUUUAUCUCUCUCCAAUUGACUGAAUGUACAGGCUCACAUACGUUCAAAAUGAAUUUGCUUUACACUACAUUACAUUAAAAUACUCAUUAAAAAUACAUACACCUUAUGGCAAAUCACGUCAGCCAUAAUAUGUCACGUGGAGCAUGAUGAUAUAAUGGUUCAUCGUAAUUAGUAUUCUUUUGUAGUCUUAUUUUGGCAAAUCAUGUCAUCCAUAAUAUGUCAUGUGGAGUGACUUUAUAUCUGGUAUUUAUUUUAGUAAAAUUAAUCUUCAUUAGUAUUCUUUAUAUAAUUGUUCAUCCUAAUUAGUGUUAUUAUACAAUUGUUCAU
rnacentral:lncRNA from 1 species